rnacentral:rRNA from 1 species
UAAUACGGAGGGGGCUAGCGUUGUUCGGAAUUACUGGGCGUAAAGGGCGCGUAGGCGGCUAUUCAAGUCAGGCGUGAAAGGCCUGGGCUCAACCCGGGAACUGCGUUUGAUACUGGAUGGCUUGAGUACGGGAGAGGAUGGCGGAAUUCCCAGUGUAGAGGUGAAAUUCGUAGAUAUUGGGAAGAACACCAGUGGCGAAGGCGGCCAUCUGGCCCGGUACUGACGCUGAGGCGCGAAAGCGUGGGGAGCAAACAGGAUUAGAUACCCUGGUAGUCCACGCCGUAAACGAUGAGUGCUAGACGUCGGGGGGUUACCCUUCGGUGUCGCAGCUAACGCGUUAAGCACUCCGCCUGGGGAGUACGGCCGCAAGGUUA